UAUUGAAGUAUAUCUGUUUCUCUGAAAACAUCUGCUCAAUGGGCAGCAGUCUAAAAAGCUAACGGAGUGUUAGGAAUCAUUAGGAAAGGGAUAGAUAAUAAGACAGUAAAUAUCAUAAUGCCACUACAUAAAUCCAUGGUACGCCCACACCUUGAAUAUGACAUACAGUUCUGGUUGCCCCAAC